AGUCGGACGCGCGCCUCGCCCACCCGGGUCGACCCCGAAGGCGCGCGCGUGGGGGGGAAGGGGCGGGGCGGGGCAGGGCGCGCGCCCGAAGGAGGGCAAAUGCGACCCAGGCCCGGCGCGAGGGUUGCCUUUGGGAAGCGCGGGACUUAAGGAGGGGCCGCUUUCUGCCCCCCUCCUCAUGCUUCACCCCAAAGAAAGACUCUAGUCCUCUCCAUACCCAAACACCAUUCUCCUCGACAAUCACUGUCACUCUUUCAGAGACAGAGCGACCACCAACGGUGGUUUCAGCAAUGGCCCCAUCCUGAUUCCUGGCCCAGGUCGGUUGUCAUGGUAACUCUUCCCAGUCGGGAACACCCUUAGCCUCCCCUCCCCUCCACCUUUGUGGUUAUGGAGCUCCAAACCUGUCCUGGCCCUGCACCAGGAAGAGGUUGCUAAGGUAACCCAAGUCACUGGUGGUCCUUAUACCUCUACCCUGAUUGGUUACUAUGGCAACCUCACCUAGCACUCAGGUAGAAAGGACCCCAGCCCCAAAGACACUGCUGAGGGAAACAUCUCUCCCAAUCCCUCCGCCCAGCCACCCAGUUGGCAUUACCAUGGUAACCAUCCAUCUCCCCCUUUCCCAUCAGUGGGAGGUCUGUGGACCAAACCAACCAGGUGUUUUUAUUUAGAGGAGAUGCUCUGCUGAGGAGUAGUCGCUAUGGUUACAAGGCCCGGACCAUCCCCAGGGAGGUAAGAAAAAAGCAAAGCCAAGUCCUGGUUACUACGGUAAUGGGGGCAGUCCCCCUUCCAGUGACCCUAGGAACCAGGCCCACCAAGGUACAGGACAUUUUAGGAUUGUCUCUCAGGAUGGAGUGUGUCUAGGAAAGGGGUUGUCAUGGUAACACCUUCUGUCACUUCUAGCCUUACCUUUCUGGACACAUUUAUGAAAGAAGGGAUGGUUAUAGGUUGCUAUGACAUCCUUCCCUUCACUCCUUCUCUUCACAGAUGCUUCAGGUGGUCCCUGAGCUUAUGAGAUUUCAAGAGAAACGAUUCCUUGACCUUCUCGUUGCCACUUUUUUAGGUAAAAUGAAAUUGUGCUCUAUUGUGUGAAAUUGGCUGAUUUGGGGUUUUCUGGUUUCUCCUUCCCUCAGCAGUGCAGCUGAGCUGGGCUGGAACUGCCCGCCUGGAGCUCCCUCAGCCUGCAACCUAGGAGAUGCAGCAACUGAGGCUCAGGCCAGGUGAAGUCUAGCCUGAAGUGAAUGUGGAUCCACUUACCUUGUUUUGUGGGCAAUGGAGAGACAAAGUCUCAGCUUAACUGUCCUCUCCUCCCCUGACCACCUUUUCUCUCUCACACUCCCUGAUGGUUUCCUGCUCUAUCUGUAAGUUGUUUGCAGGGAUUUUGUCUGUCUUCCUACCUCUGGAGGGCCUGCCCAACCACUGCCUGGUUCACCCCGUGUCCCCAGAACACAGAGGGCACUCAAUAAAUAUAUGUUUGUUGAGUUAAUGAGUUGAAUUAAUUAAUUAAUGUUCAUAUUCAGCUUUGAAAGCACCUGUCAAGUGAGGGCAAGGGAAAGGGGUUAUCUCACUGAAGAUGGGUUGAAAGUUGGACUGUCUUUGUGGACCCAAAAGAGACAGCAGAGUUUAUUGGCUAAAAUCACAACACUGGAGCCAGCUUCCCGGUCAAAUCCCAGGUCCACCACUUCCCAGCUGUGUGACCUUGGGCAAGUGACUGCACCUGUCUGUGCCUCAGUUUCCUCAUCUUUAAAUGUGAUCAUAAUGUGAAGAUUAAACAAGUUAAGAUCGGUAAAAAGCUUAGAACAGGAACUGGUACAUCAAGAGCAGCUAGAAUUGUUGAUAUUAUUAUGAUCCUUCAAAACCAUCGUUUCAUCCACUUUGCCCCAGUGAAGGAGUUUUGAGUCCUUACAGCUGGGGAAGCCAAGACUGACCUUGUCAGGGUACUAGGUGAUUCCUCUCUCUCUCUACUCUGGUUCCCUCACCUCCUCAGCUGGCUGUCAUACCUGCUGGUCUCUGAGAAACUGGCUUCUGUCCUCCGUCCUUUUGGGCACCUCCUGGCCCAGAGUCAGCCAGAUAGCGCCUGCUGAGAACCAGGUUCCGGGGGCGGAGACCUGGGUUCCGCUCCCUUGGCCUUCCUCUCUCUGCGCCGCAGGUUCCCCGUCUGAAUAACAGGAGUCAGUCAUUCAUUCCGCACACAUUUAUUGAGCACCUGCUGUGUGCCAGGUACCGAGCCAUGUUCUGGGUGUACAGCAGGGAACAAAACAGACAAAACAAGAGACAAGAUAAGUAAAAUCUACGUGAGAACUACUAGGGGAGGAAAGUAGCCCAGGGAUGGGACAUAGGAAGUAUGUGGGUGAUAGGGAGAGGCAUUUUUAAGUAGGGGGGCCAAAGGAAGGGAUCACUGGAUAGGUGAUAUUUGAGCAAAGACCUGAAAGCCAGGGGAAAAGGCAUGCAGCUGCUACCUGGGGGAGAGCAUCCAGGCAGAGGGGACAGCCAGUGCCACAGCUGGGGUCUCCUGGGUGUAUUUGGAGAAUGGUGUUUGGUGGCCCACGUGGCUGCAGCUGAGCGGACAAGUGGGAGAGGGUGGGGGGAUCGCGUGGAGCCUUGCGGGUCCCAGCGAAGACUUUGGCUUUUCCUUUGAGUGAGUCUCGAGCCACAGAAGCCUUGAGCAGACGCAGGACAGAAUCUAACUGAAGAUUGAACAGGAUCCUUCUGGGCUCUGAGUGGGGCACAGACCAUAGGAGACAAGGCCGAAGCAGGAGGAAGGUCUCUUCAGAAUUGUUAGAAGACUCUGAAACCAUCUAAAGGUCUCUUCUCUGUUUCUGUGUACCUGAGCGCUAAAAUUCUAAGAUUUUUAAGACCCCGAAGAUUCUGUGGUCCCCAUGGCUCCUCCCCGCCCCCACAGGAAUGUGAAUUGCCUAAGCUCAGUGGUAUUGUCUUUCUCUGUGUGUUGUGUGUCCACGGCUGUUUCCCCAGGGCCUAGGACAGUGCGUGGUAUGUUGUAGGAGUUCCACAACCUGGAAUGAUGGAAGGAAGGAGGGAUUGAUCGCAGGUCCAGAAGGCAGUUCCAAGGUUCUGAAGAAUAACAAGUCACUCUGAAAGUGCAACUCAGACUCUUAAGUGCCAUCUGAGUUGGGUCAGAGAAGGGCAAGCAGGCCUGGGAUGGGUGAAGAGGGAUGAGAGGGCGUUUCUGGAGGGAGAGAGAGAGAGAGAGGAGACAGGGAGACCAGGGCAGGGCCCCAGGUGCAUGGCCACAGUGCAGAAUUUGGCCCUGGGGACCUGAGUGGGCUUUACAGACACACAAAACCCCUGCCCCCAGUCAUCAUCUUUUCACCAAGUGUAUUUUCAGUGCCCAGUCGUGUGGGAGGAACACAGUGGUGAUUGAGACAGUCCUGGCUCUACCCUCCUGGGGCUCACAGUCUAGUGGGGCAGACAGAGCCAUCCCCAGACAGUGCCAAACCAGAACAGGUAGCCCAGGGGUUCCGGGAGCCCAGAGGGGACUUCUGACUCCAGGAGCCCAGAGGGGACUUCUGACUGUGGUUCAGGGAGGGCUUCCUGGAGGAGGGGCCAUCUGAGCUAAAGCCUGAGCAUAAGUGAGUUCUCCAGGAGAAAAGAGGCACGGGGAGAAGGGGUGAUCGAGAGGAGACUCUUCUAGGCAGGAGGAACAGGAUACACAAAGGUUUAGAAAUAAGAUCUGUUUGAAGAAAAGUCCAAGAUGGCUUAGGCACAGAGUUCGAGGAUGCAUGGCAGGAGAUGGGGCUGGAAUGGUGGCAGGCAAGGGCCAGGUCAUACGAGGCCUGGUGGGACUUUGUAAGAAACUUAGACUUUCUCCCCAGGGCACUAGGGAGCCAUGGCAGAUUCUGAGCGAGAGAGGGAGAGGUCAGAUUUGUGCUUUAUGCAGACCCCUCUGGCUGCCACGAGGAGGGGACUUAGGAGACUGUGGGAGGCUGGGUGGGGAUCUGGGUGAACCAGGGUUGAAGGGAGAGCUGUGGGAAUGGGGAGGAGGGGGGUCAGAAGUAUUUAGGAGGUAGGAAGAUUAGCGGGGUCUCUGACGUCCCCCUCUCCGGGAGGGGCAGAACCUAUGAAGAUCCUUCAUGGGGAAACUUUAGUAUCUGCUCAGAAGAGAGAGUUAGUUAUUCCUUCUGUGCUGGAGACCAGCCACAUCUUCAAGUUGUGAUGGGGACAUGGAGACAGCGCCACCUGGGGGUUGCUUAGGAAUGUGGCCCAUGAAUAGAGGUGGAGGUGCCCUAUGGAGGGAGCACAGCCUCUUUGGAUGCAGCCCACUGUACUUCAAAAAAAAAAAAAAAAAAAAAGAUUUUUUUACUUGUGAUAAAAUACACAUAACAAAAUUUGUCAUCUUAACAGUUUUCAAGUGUAUA